rnacentral:lncRNA from 1 species
CAAAAAGUUGGAUGAAAAGGUUCGGGAUGCACUUCAUCUUUACUUUGAACCCCGCGCCAUAAAUGAAAAGCUCUUCCUUUUUCUCCAAGCUUGGCUUUAUGAAAAGGAUCACCGAAUUCUUGUACGCUGGUUCAAAGCGUUGGUUCUAUUCAUCAAGGACCAAAGCCAAAACAAGAUGUCAAGAACCCCGCGCUGAAGAUGAUCAUCUGAAAGGCGGUCGUGGAGCAGUUUUCUCCAGGAUGGAUAAUUGUCCUAGGAUAAAGUGAAUUAUAUGCAAAGUCGCGCCAGCGAGGAGUUUUGGUUUAUCUUUAGUUUUUAUUCGCCGGGGAAUCAGUGGUCUGGUGGUUGAAUUAGUUAUCAUUAGUCCUUGUGAUCUGCUACCCUAUCAUGCUGAGGUGCUUGUCAGAUUCUCAAUUAUUCAAACUCCACAUUUUCCAUCGAAGCGCAAGAAGCACGUAUUGAGAGACCCUUUUUUUUUAUCUCAUACAAAGAUCGCCUUUUAUUGUCACUUUCUAAUUAUGGGGUGUAGCGAGGUCAUGUGUCCGUGUUGGUGCAUGCAGCACUGCCACGUUUAGGCUCUGUUUGUUUUCCUCCUAGAUGUUAUUUCCCUCUUAUGUUAUAUAAUUUAUAUAAGUUAGAUUAUCUUAUAGCCAUUCAACAGCCA